UGAUUUAUCAUAACAGUUUUUCAGUGUUCAGUGUGUAACACACCAGGAUGUGAAUCAAAAAAAUGCCUUUAUAUUAAGGACCAAGACUAUCAUAAACAAACCCACUAUUAGACCCUUUUCAAAUUCAAACACAAUGGUUAUAUUGUCUAAUUCUACAGAAUCCUAUGAAAAGAAAUUAUCCAGAACAGCUCUAAUAAAAACAUUUAUUUGUAUACCAUCCUAGA
rnacentral:lncRNA from 1 species